rnacentral:rRNA from 1 species
AGUGAACGCUGGCGGUAGGCCUAACACAUGCCAGUCGAACGGCAGCACAGUAAGAGCUUGCUCUUACGGGUGGCGAGUGGCGGACGGGUGAGGAAUACAUCGGAAUCUACUUUUUCGUGGGGGAUAACGUAGGGAAACUUACGCUAAUACCGCAUACGGCCUACGGGUGAAAGCAGGGGAUCUUCGGACCUUGCGCGAUUGAAUGAGCCGAUGUCGGAUUAGCUAGUUGGCGGGGUAAAGGCCCACCAAGGCGACGAUCCGUAGCUGGUCUGAGAGGAUGAUCAGCCACACUGGAACUGAGACACGGUCCAGACUCCUACGGGAGGCAGCAGUGGGGAAUAUUGGACAAUGGGCGCAAGCCUGAUCCAGCCAUACCGCGUGGGUGAAGAAGGCCUUCGGGUUGUAAAGCCCUUUUGUUGGGAAAGAAAAGCAGCAGGUUAAUACCCCGCUGUUCUGACGGUACCCAAAGAAUAAGCGCCGGCUAACUUCGUG